CAGUUGUUUUUCUAAUUAACACUGCUCUGGGAGUACAUUACACACACAGCACUAAAAGGUGGUAACUUGUUCCUGCACUUCGAGUCAUACUCCUGACAUUUACGCAAUGAUGAGUCAACUGUAUGGGCUGUUCACUAGCAAGUUCAGCAGAAGCGUGUGAAUGCCUGCGUUAGCCAGCACUGCCUCUUUAUGGUCCAGCUUUUUGGCACACGGCCAGGGGAAGGCAAACCCAAACUUAAGUGCAAGAGAACCCAGAAGUUGGCCAAAAAGGAAAGACUGGUUUUGUACAUGAACACGUCAAGCGUGGAUUUAGUUUAUUUGAAUUUAAUUUUGUGUUACUUGCCACAGUGGUAAGAGGCCCCAAUAAAAGAGGAGAAAUCAGGGACUAGAGUUGCAAUCUCAAACACUAUUAUUUUGUGAGACAAUGACAAACCAUUUAACUGCUUCAAGAGUACAGAUUUGCUUAUAAAAGUCAGGGAUGGGCUAGAAUUAUGGUUUUAACUUUUGAGGGGUUAAGGUCCUUUUAAGAACAGACUGCUAGGUAUGGGUCCUCUCUGCAGAAAAGUACACAUCUAUGAAUGCCAAGAUUAAGAAUGCUGAAGUGAAUUAUCUCAGAGGUGCCUUCUAUACCCAGUCCUCCCUGUCAGUCUUUGAAAGGAAAAAAACCCAAACAACUAUGUACAGCCUGGCGCUUUUGAUGGCAUACAUCACAGCCAACCUAGCUAGACUAUCCCAUCAUGUGACACUUGAAGUUGAUUUUGUGCAUGUGUGUACAUCGAGAAAAUCCCCUUGUUGCUUCCCGUACUUUGAAGCUGCAGAUAAAGACGGUCAUGUCUGCAAAAUGCGUGGAAUUUUUCUCUUCGUCAUUGUACCUGUCCCCAUCUGUUCCUUUUAACCUUUUCAUCUGAAUCCUUCAGUCUCUUUUUCUUCUAACAGUGGGAGACCUGAAGAAGAGAUGUGAGGGAGGAUAUCAUUGUGUAGUUAGCGAAAUAAAUUUAAACUUUGCAUUGGCACAGUUGGAUCAGAGACCAUGGAAAAUGACUAGAAAUUGAACAGAAAUGAAUGGAUUCAGACAACUGUAAACAGCAUCUACAAUUGUAGACAGUAGUUUGAGAGUGUUUGAACAAUUGUAGACAGUAGUGGUAGACAGCGUCAAGUAUGUAUUGAUAAAUGAUUCAUAAGCAUUUAGUUAUAAAUGGACUUAAUUUGCUAGGCUGUGUUACCUUGGCUGUAAUUGUACAGUAAUUUUCCAAGAUAUGGGAAAGUGAGAGAAUAUGACCUUCAAGGUAAGCCUGCCAUUGCUGCCAUUGGCAAGAUGGGUAUAACAUAAAGGUUGUUUUUUUCUAGUUGCUUACCAUUAAUCUUUUUCCAUUGUUCCAGAAUAUAAUAAAAAUGUAAGAAUUUUGUGUUACCUUGCAUAUACUAAUUUGUGACUAAUUCAGAAUAGCCUUCAAAAGUGGAAGAUAAAAGUCAUUUGUGGUUACAAAUCGAUUACUCAGAAAUUUUCUUUAUAUGGACUCAGUAAAGCAUGCACAUAUUUUUAACAUAUUUUAAAUUUUCUGCAGUAUAUUUCCAAAAAAAUAAUAAUUAACAUGAUAUCCCUGGUGAUUAGGAUUUUUAUCCUCCUUUUUUUUCUCCUGUGACUACAUUUUUUUAAGUAUUAUUGAGAAGCACAGUUGUGUGCGUGGAGAAUUUAAUCCUAAGCAGAUGGUGUGAUGCUGUGAUAAAUUUACCUCUCCCAGUAAGAGGGAGAGAAGCCAUGAUUCAUGGCUGUUUGCAAUAGGACCUACUUUAAAGGGAGGAAAUAAUCACACAUGCAAUGAUGUAGAGGAGCGUCUUACAAUAACAGAGAAACACUUGUAUAUGUUUUAAAAGAAUCUCCAAGUCUUAGGUUCCUUUGUUUGUUCACAGGGGUGAUGGGUGAAUAUGAGCCAAAAAUAGAAGUGCAGUUCCCAGAAACGGUCCCAACUGCCAAAGGAACAACAGUGAAGCUGGAAUGCUUUGCCUUAGGAAAUCCAGUACCAACUAUUAUCUGGAGAAGAGCUGAUGGAAAGCCAAUGGCAAGGAAAGCCAGAAGACACAAGUCAAAUGGAAUUCUGGAAAUCCCCAAUUUUCAGCAAGCAGGAGGACGCUGGUUUAUACGAAUGUGUGGCUGAAAAUUCAAGAGGGAAAAACGUGGCAAGAGGACAGUUGACUUUCUAUGGUAAGACUCUGAGAGUUAUGCAUUCAGGCUUUUUUGGAAGGAUUGUUCAAAAGAGGAUUGUGCAAAACCCUCAGUUUGCUGCUUAACUAGUAUUCCCUGAUUCUGUGUAUGGACAGUGAGGGUGGGGGGCAAACAUAUUGCCAGAGCAAAGAAGAAGAAAUUAGGCUGAUAUGUUUGGGGUGUGGAUAUUAGUGUGAACACACUUGCAAAGGAACUGUUUUCCCUCCUGCCAUCAAGCUGUAAACCUGACACAGGAAACGUUUUGUCAUUCUUGCUCCUGAUUUAUUAUUAUUUUUUAAAGCUCUCUGCUUGCCUUCAUUCGAAUUUUGAUUUGGAGCUUGUGUUAAUCCUUUGUAAUUGCUCCUAUUCGAUAGUGAUUUCAUGUGCCACCAUGAACAUUUCAAAAUGGAGUGUUCAAAUUUAGUUGUCAGAAUAGAGCAUGAAAGAUCUCUCUCACCCCAAAGACUUUUUAUGUGCAGCUGUUCUUGUGCCAAUCAAAUCAUCGGCAUUGAUCCAAAUAUAAUAUAAAUGUAAAACCUCUAGAAUGUGGUCAUCAAUUGCAUCUAUCCUGGAAACCCCGUUAGGGUAUUAAUUGGAAAUCCAGAAAGGGAUUUCACUGGAUAGGCAUUUGGAAAGCAAAUUUAGUUCUCCCAUAUUGGAACAUACCUGAAUUCCAUCUGUCUGGGGUAUUGGAAAUAAAUAUUAUAGAUUGAUAAUUAUUCAAGAAUGGCUUAAAUAUACAACAAUGUAUAGUGAAAGGAUGAGAGUAAUUCUUUAGGGGCAAGGUGUAGCAAGAGCUUUAAAAGUUCUUAUUUCCUGCAAUAGCUGAGGCUACAGAAGGUUUUCAUUCUUCUUCUUCCAGAAGGUUUUCAUUCUUCUUCUUUCAGAAGGUUUUCAUUUUAAGAUAUGGGGAAGGAAUUUUGUUCUGUAGUCAUGUAAGGUAUUUUUAAGAGUAUGAUUGGAAACUAGGUGGAUAUUCUGAAUGACAGCUGGCCUUCAAUCAACUCGCCACUCUGACCCUCAGCAUUUUAGACUCAUACUUCCGAUAUUGCCCAGGCUGUGGAAAAACACACAGGGUCCUGCCAAACACUUCACAUGAUGACCUGAGCACCAGUUGUAAUAAAUAUUUUACAUAAAUAUGCAAUCUUUUUUCAUAACUCAUAUUCCUUCAACAGUAAUAAAGGACCAACUCUGCUCAUGCCAAGUAACAGGCCUGACAUUUGAUCUUUGCUCUUUUAUAAACUGUGAGUAUUGAUACCUUAUUUGAUUGAAAAGCAAAAGACAUCACAGUUAAUUGGCUGGAAAAACCUAAGACUGAAGGUAACAGAUUCAUUUAGUGAGAUGUAAUUCCUGUCUUUUUAAAGUGUUUAGGUACAUUUUUCUCUCCAGUGUAAUAAUUAUUUCUCAUGUGGCAGGUAGGAACAACCUGGGAAUAUUCAGGUAAAUGGUAGGCAUUUUCUUUUUUUUAUUAGUUGGAUAUAUUUUUUCCAUGUGGUGGUGGUUUUUCCUAAAUAUUAUCUGUAUUGCACAACAGAUUGAAGUCAUUUUCACUUUUCAUGAUUUUAAGUAAAAUAUCUAUUUUCAGUAUGUUCAAAAGGUAUAAAAUAUUUUUUUACCAGGAGUUGGCACAGUGCUUUCUAGUAGGUCAAAGAUUUCCUGCACUAAAAAUAGAAGAUUGCAGAGUUACUGUUCUGGAGAAUCAACCUAGAUUGGUCCCCAGCCCUAUAUAGUGAAAGGUUUUCUUAGGGAUGCUGCCUUAGAGAUGAAAAUCAGGUCUUAACAGUGUUUUCCUUUUAAAUGAAGUUAUCUGCAUCCAUGCAUGGAGAAAAAAAACAGAAUGAAAUUUGCCUGCUUUCUGAAGAUAAUUCAGUUUUUUCCUCCGUUGUCAACUACCCUUGGUGUUAGUAGCUUGUCAAAUCAGUUGACUUUCAUGGUUUUGGGCAGUUGCAUCUGUGUUCAUUCUUUUGUUUUUCCUCAACUAGUGGAUCAGUGGCACAGAAAUUAUGGAAAUGUUUUCAUUGUCACAGGAGAGCUUAAUUAUACAAAAGUGCUUGGCUGUCAUUUUUUUCUUUCUUUCUUUCUUUUUUUAUGGUCUCUAUUGGGAUUUUCCCAGUGCUGUGUUCUUAAUAUCCAGCUGCCUAGAGCUCCAAUUUAAAUGAGUUAUUAUAAUGAAAAUCACCAUGUAUUUCACAAAAGGGGAGAAUGCCCCCAGUGACUUAUCCAUGGACAUUCUGUCUUUGAGGAUGAGAGAAUUUCUUUUCUUUUCCUUUUCUUGUUGUGUGUUUGUUUGUUUUUUGGCUUUAUAGUGCUGCAGCCACAGCAUAUGGAAGUUCCCAGUCUAGGGACUGAAUCAGAAAUACAGCUGCUGGCCCACACCACAGCCACAGCAACUUGGGAUGCGGGCCGUGUCUUCGAACUACAUCACAGCUCAUGUCAAUGCUGGACACUUAACCUACUGAGUGAGGCCAGGGAUCGAACCUGUGUCCUCAUGGAUACUAGUCAGAUUUGUUUCCUGUGAGCCACGAUGGGAACUCCCGAGAAUUUCCUACAACAUUAAGAUAUACUGUGCUCUGGGAUUAUAAACCAUGAGUUUCAUUUUAGAAACCUGCUUAUCUUCUUGUAGUUCCAAAUUGCUAUGUCUCAUUCAUCAACUCUUCACUUCAGCAACCACAGACAGGUGUGCUAAUUUCUGUUCUGGCUUGACAGAAUGGCAAUUUUUCUGAUCCUGCAUGAAAACUACUUAUCCUUCCUCCAAAGGCCUGCUGGGCAUGAUUCCAUUGCUCCCAUGUUCCCUGUGUCAGGAUGAAAGAAGACUCUGUUUCUGGUUGUUGUGUUUCUACCGUGGCUAUGUCUCUGAUAGCUAUGUGACUUGUGUUUGGGAAAUGGGAAGAAAUGAAACUAAUUCAGACAUUUUUACCCUACCCCAUCUUCAUGACCUAUUUUUGCUGUGACCUCUACUUGGUUCUGUAGUCUAAUUUUAAUCUGCUCUUUCAGACAUUUUUCCACAUAAAAAUCUUCCUAGAAACAGCUCUGUUAUAUUUUCAGAAGUAAAAUACUACUGAUCUUUGUUGCUUCAAAGUUGACAUUUUCCCAAACGAUUUUAAUCUAUUAUUAAUUUGUU
rnacentral:lncRNA from 1 species